AACGAACGCUGGCGGCAGGCUUAACACAUGCAAGUCGAACGGGCGUAGCAAUACGUCAGUGGCGGACGGGUGAGUAACACGUGGGAAUAUGCCUUUCGGUUCGGAACAACUCGGGGAAACCCGUGCUAAUUCCGGAUACGCCCUUACGGGGAAGGAUUUAUCGCCGAAGAUUAGCCCGCGUUGGAUUAGCUAGUUGGUGAGGUAAAGGCUCACCAAGGCGACGAUCCAUAGCUGGUUUGAGAGAACGACCAGCCACACUGGGACUGAGACACGGCCCAGACUCCUACGGGAGGCAGCAGUGGGGAAUCUUGGACAAUGGGCGCAAGCCUGAUCCAGCCAUGCCGCGUGAGUGAUGAAGGCC
rnacentral:rRNA from 1 species